ensembl:lncRNA
AGGAUGGUAGGCACUUCAGAUCAGCACACAUAGCCCUGGCAAAGAGGGGGUCUGGGUGGGGAGGGGAGGAGGAGGAUUGGGAGGACCUGCCAAAACCACGAGCACAGAUUGCGUGGGAAAGCCAAGCCUGGGUGACCUAGUCGCUAUCUUCAUCCAGACGCUGGGUGUCUCAAGCAAAUGCUUCCAUCUCCUCCGACAGCUCGGGCCAUUGUCCAGACGCCUUGUUUUGAGUACAGCCUGUCAGAGAGAUGGUGGACAUCUUGUGGACUUCUGCCAAGUGCUUCGGUCUCAACUCUCCCAAUCUACAGAGGUGUGUGGAGCGGAUAUAAUUUUAUUUGACUGCUGCACAGGUCACCUGAUGUGUCUGCUGCUGCCUGACAUGCUGAGAAUUUAGAGAGCUAACACAUCUAUUAUAUAUACAUGAAAACUUAGCCACGAAGAGCAGAUGUUGCCAAAGACGCAAGUUUCGUUGUUGGCUUAGUGCAGGGAAUUGUAUAAAUAGGACACAUGGAUACCUGUACAAAUUUGUAUUGGACACAUGUGCGUAACACCCCAUGCAGAUGCAAGGCCCUGGAU